rnacentral:rRNA from 1 species
CCUACGGGAGGCAGCAGUGAGGAAUAUUGGUCAAUGGGCGGAAGCCUGAACCAGCCAAGUCGCGUGAGGGAUUAAGGCCCUGCGGGUCGUAAACCUCUUUUGCCGGGGAGCAGAGGUCCGGACGUGUCCGGGCCGGGAGAGUACCCGGAGAAAAAGCAUCGGCUAACUCCGUGCCAGCAGCCGCGGUAAUACGGAGGAUGCGAGCGUUAUCCGGAUUUAUUGGGUUUAAAGGGUGCGUAGGCGGGCAUUUAAGCCGGCGGUCAAAUGUCGGGGCUCAACCCCGGCCUGCCGUCGGAACUGCAUCCCUUGAGUGCGCGAGAAGUAUGCGGAAUGCGUGGUGUAGCGGUGAAAUGCAUAGAUAUCACGCAGAACUCCGAUUGCGAAGGCAGCAUACCGGCGCGCAACUGACGCUCAUGCACGAAAGCGUGGGUAUCGAACAGGAUUAGAUACCCCAGUAGUC